rnacentral:rRNA from 1 species
UACGUAGGGUGCAAGCGUUGUCCGGAAUUAUUGGGCGUAAAGAGCUUGUAGGCGGUUUGUCGCGUCUGCUGUGAAAUUUCGGGGCUCAACCCCGAACUUGCAGUGGGUACGGGCAGACUAGAGUGUGGUAGGGGAGACUGGAAUUCCUGGUGUAGCGGUGGAAUGCGCAGAUAUCAGGAGGAACACCGGUGGCGAAGGCGGGUCUCUGGGCAGCAACUGACGCUGAGGAGCGAAAGCGUGGGGAGCGAACAGG